rnacentral:rRNA from 1 species
GGGAAGCUAUCGGCGCACCCCCCAACCCUUUGUGAACUUAUACCUAUUGUUGCCUCGGCGUCAGGCCGGCCUCUUCACUGAGGCCCCCCGGAGACGGGGAGCAGCCCGCCGGCGGCCAACUAAACUCUUGUUUCUAUAGUGAAUCUCUGAGUAAAAAACAUAAAUGAAUCAAAACUUUCAACAACGGAUCUCUUGGUUCUGGCAUCGAUGAAGAACGCAGCGAAAUGCGAUAAGUAAUGUGAAUUGCAGAAUUCAGUGAAUCAUCGAAUCUUUGAACGCACAUUGCGCCCCCUGGUAUUCCGGGGGGCAUGCCUGUUCGAGCGUCAUUUCAACCCUCAAGCCUGGCUUGGUGAUGGGGCACUGCUUCGAGAGGAGCAGGCCCUGAAAUUCAGUGGCGAGCUCGCCAGGACCCCGAGCGUAGUAGUUAUAUCUCGCUUUGGAAGGCCCUGGCGGUGCCCUGCCGUUAAACCCCCAACUUCUGAAAAUUUGACCUCGGAUCAGGUAGGAAUACCCGCUGAACUUAAGCAUAUCAAUAAGCGGAGGAA